GAUGAACGCUGGCGGCGUGCCUAAUACAUGCAAGUCGAGCGAACAGAUGAGAAGCUUGCUUCUCUGAUGUUAGCGGCGGACGGGUGAGUAACACGUGGGUAACCUACCUAUAAGACUGGGAUAACUCCGGGAAACCGGGGCUAAUACCGGAUAAUAUUUUGAACCGCAUGGUUCAAUAGUGAAAGACGGUUUCGGCUGUCACUUAUAGAUGGACCCGCGCCGUAUUAGUUAGUUGGUAAGGUAACGGCUUACCAAGGCGACGAUACGUAGCCGACCUGAGAGGGUGAUCGGCCACACUGGAACUGAGACACGGUCCAGACUCCUACGGGAGGCAGCAGUAGGGAAUCUUCCGCAAUGGGCGAAAGCCUGACGGAGCAACGCCGCGUGAGUGAUGAAGGUCUUCGGAUCGUAAAACUCCGUCGUUAGGGAAGAACAAAUUUGUUAGUAACUGAACAAGUCUUGACGGUACCUAACCAGAAAGCCACGGCUAACUACGUGCCAGCCGCCGCCGUAA
rnacentral:rRNA from 1 species